rnacentral:sRNA from 1 species
UUCGAUGUAUUUUUCAGAUUGGCCUAU